UACGUAGGGGGGCUAGCGUUGUCCGGAAUCAUUGGGCGUAAAGAGCGCGUAGGCGGCCAGAUAAGUCCGGUGUGAAAGUCACAGGCUCAACCUGUGAAUGCCGCUGGAAACUGUCUGGCUAGAGUCCGGGAGGGGCGAGUGGAAUUCCAGGUGUAGCGGUGAAAUGCGUAGAUAUCUGGAGGAACACCGGUGGCGAAGGCGGCAUCCUGGACCGACAUUGACGCUGAGGCGCGAAAGCCAGGGGAGCGAACGGG
rnacentral:rRNA from 1 species